rnacentral:rRNA from 1 species
CCUACGGGAGGCAGCAGUGGGGAAUAUUGCACAAUGGGCGAAAGCCUGAUGCAGCAACGCCGCGUGGAGGAUGAAGGCCUUCGGGUUGUAAACUCUUGUCUUCUGGGACGAUAAUGACGGUACCAGAGGAGGAAGCCACGGCUAACUACGUGCCAGCAGCCGCGGUAAUACGUAGGUGGCAAGCGUUGUCCGGAUUUACUGGGCGUAAAGGAUGCGUAGGCGGAUAUUUAAGUGGGAUGUGAAAUACCCGGGCUCAACCUGGGUGCUGCAUUCCAAACUGGAUAUCUGGAGUGCGGGAGAGGAGAGUGGAAUUCCUAGUGUAGCGGUGAAAUGCGUAGAGAUUAGGAAGAACACCAGUGGCGAAGGCGACUCUCUGGACCGUAACUGACGCUGAGGCAUGAAAGCGUGGGGAGCAAACAGGAUUAGAUACCCUGGUAGU